rnacentral:rRNA from 1 species
CAGUCGAGCGGAGAUUUGAAAGCUUGCUUUUCAAAUCUUAGCGGCGGACGGGUGAGUAACACGUGGGCAACCUGCCCUUGAGACGGGGAUAACUCCGGGAAACCGGAGCUAAUACCGGAUAACACAUAUCUUCGCAUGAUGAUAUGUUAGAAGGUGGCUUUUAGCUACCACUCAAGGAUGGGCCCGCGGCGCAUUAGCUAGUUGGUGAGGUAACGGCUCACCAAGGCGACGAUGCGUAGCCGACCUGAGAGGGUGAUCGGCCACACUGGGACUGAGACACGGCCCAGACUCCUACGGGAGGCAGCAGUAGGGAAUCUUCCGCAAUGGACGAAAGUCUGACGGAGCAACGCCGCGUGAGUGAUGAAGGUUUUCGGAUCGUAAAGCUCUGUUGUUAGGGAAGAACAAGUAUCUGUUGAAUAAGCAGGUACCUUGACGGUACCUAACCAGAAAGCCACGGCUAACUACGUGCCAGCAGCCGCGGUAAUACGUAGGUGGCAAGCGUUGUCCGGAAUUAUUGGGCGUAAAGCGCGCGCAGGCGGUUCCUUAAGUCUGAUGUGAAAGCCCACGGCUCAACCGUGGAGGGUCAUUGGAAA